GAUGAAUGCUGGCGGCGUGCUUAACACAUGCAAGUCGAGCGGCAGCGCGGUCUUCGGACUGGCGGCGAGCGGCGGACGGCUGAGUAACGCGUGGGAACGUGCCCCAAAGUGAGGAAUAACUGCCCGAAAGGGUGGCUAAUGCCGCAUAUGGUCUUCGGAUUAAAGGAUUUAUCCGCUUUGGGAGCGGCCUGCGUAUGAUUAGGUAGUUGGUGAGGUAAUGGCCCACCAAGCCGACGAUCAUUAGCUGGUCUGAGAGGAUGACCAGCCAGACUGGAACUGAGACACGGUCCAGACUCCUACGGGAGGCAGCAGUGAGGAAUCUUCCACAAUGGGCGAAAGCCUGAUGGAGCAACGCCGCGUGCAGGAUGAAGGCCUUCGGGUUGUAAACUGCUUUUAUAAGUGAAGAAUAUGACGGUAACUUAUGAAUAAGCACCGGCUAACUACGUGCCAGCCGCCGCGGUAA
rnacentral:rRNA from 1 species